rnacentral:rRNA from 1 species
UACGGAGGGUGCAAGCGUUAUCCGGAUUCACUGGGUUUAAAGGGUGCGUAGGCGGGUUGGUAAGUCCGUGGUGAAAUCUCCAAGCUUAACUUGGAAACUGCCGUGGAUACUAUCAAUCUUGAAUAUCGUGGAGGUAAGCGGAAUAUGUCAUGUAGCGGUGAAAUGCUUAGAUAUGACAUAGAACACCAAUUGCGUAGGCAGCUUACUACACGAUCAUUGACGCUGAGGCACGAAAAGCGUGGGGAGCAAGCAGG